rnacentral:misc_RNA from 1 species
GAGAGAGAGAGAGAGAGAGAGAGGGGAAAGCAAGGCAGAGAAAUAAAGAGUUAUGAUGGUAAGUUUUCUUUUGUGUUUUUUUUGGGAAGUGUGGGAAUAGAGGAAUAAUAAUGGGAGAUGAGANGUGAUGAUGGUUCUAAAUUCUCUCAUUUAUGGCAAAAGGAAGUGGAGGUGGCUAGGUGGGGAGGCCUGGCCUACUGCUUCCACUCCUUUCUCUCCUUCGAACACUAACCAG